rnacentral:misc_RNA from 1 species
GUCGGCACGAGCUCAUACCUAUCGAGAGGGCAUUUUGUCGGCUGAAACGGUCCCAUCUCCGUCCUGUGUCGCCGCUCCAUGCGGACAGUCGAUGCGGGGUGGAUCUCAAGGCUCACGUCGUGUCUCGCACCGCAUCCACCGAUUUUCGGUGUUUGGGCAGGUGAACCACAUCGCGUCGCCCGUUGCCUAGGGUACGGAACAUCACGUGGGUACGCGGCCUCGGCCGCCGAUCGCCACAACGAUGUAUUCUACGCUUUUUGCGAACGACGGUUGGCUCAGUCUCCGCCCAUGCACUCGUGCAUCGGUCGUAGCCGGGCCGCCAUCAGUGAGCGAUGCUACCUGGUUGAUCCUGCCAGUA